UACGAAGGGGGCGAGCGUUGUUCGGAAUUACUGGGCGUAAAGGGCGCGUAGGCGGCGUACCAAGUCAGAUGUGAAAGUCCUGGGCUUAACCUGGGGACUGCAUUUGAUACUGGUUUGCUUGAAUUCGGGAGAGGAUAGCGGAAUUCCCAGUGUAGAGGUGAAAUUCGUAGAUAUUGGGAAGAACACCGGUGGCGAAGGCGGCUAUCUGGACCGACAUUGACGCUGAGGCGCGAAAGCGUGGGGAGCAAACAGG
rnacentral:rRNA from 1 species